CAGGCCUAACACAUGCAAGUCGAACGAACUCUUCGGAGUUAGUGGCGGACGGGUGAGUAACACGUGGGAACGUGCCUUUAGGUUCGGAAUAACUCAGGGAAACUUGUGCUAAUACCGAAUGUGCCCUUCGGGGGAAAGAUUUAUCGCCUUUAGAGCGGCCCGCGUCUGAUUAGCUAGUUGGUGAGGUAAAGGCUCACCAAGGCGACGAUCAGUAGCUGGUCUGAGAGGAUGAUCAGCCACAUUGGGACUGAGACACGGCCCAAACUCCUACGGGAGGCAGCAGUGGGGAAUCUUGCGCAAUGGGCGAAAGCCUGACGCAGCCAUGCCGCGUGAAUGAUGAAGGUCUUAGGAUUGUAAAAUUCUUUCACCGGGGACGAUAAUGACGGUACCCGGAGAAGAAGCCCCGGCUAACUUCGUGCCAGCAGCCGCGGUAAUACGAAGGGGGCUAGCGUUGCUCGGAAUUACUGGGCGUAAAGGGAGCGUAGGCGGACAUUUAAGUCAGGGGUGAAAUCCCGGGGCUCAACCUCGGAAUUGCCUUUGAUACUGGGUGUCUUGAGUAUGAGAGAGGUGUGUGGAACUCCGAGUGUAGAGGUGAAAUUCGUAGAUAUUCGGAAGAACACCAGUGGCGAAGGCGACACACUGGCUCAUUACUGACGCUGAGGCUCGAAAGCGUGGGGAGCAAACAGGAUUAGAUACCCUGGUAGUCCACGCCGUAAACGAUGAUUGCUAGUUGUCGGGAUGCAUGCAUUU
rnacentral:rRNA from 1 species